AGAGCACGUGCGGCCUCUUGUGCGCUGAACCGACGGGACGCCAUUUUGGAAAACACGCAUGAAAAUGGCUGCCGACUGUUUGUGCUUGAAGACAUUUGCAAGACUCUUUCAGCUUCUUCGAGUUUUCAAGAAGAACAAUAACUGGAUCAAGGCGGGAGUCCGAGAAACAACAGUUUUCACCAUCAUUUUCUUGACUUUGUACACAACCGUGUAACCGUGCAUCAGGUUGCAGCUCAGGAUGCCUGUGAGGGCCAGGGAUGAGGCACCAUCCUGAGGUCAUAAUUACAUCUUUUCUGGCUUUCAGGAUGACUGAGAGCUCCAAAUUGCUGUCUGCAUUUUGCCUAUACUGAUAGCUCACCCAACGUUCCAUGGUUUUGGACCUCCAACUACAGAAAGCAACACUGUAGAAGUCUGUGAAGGCUUUGAAGUCCGGAAUCUAUUGAUGCUGCUCCUGACGUCUGGAUCUGAUGCCAACCGGUCGGACUCUCCUCGGGAAGAUUGGAUGGAAUCGUCUUAGGGAAAGGGCAAAUCUAUGGCAAACUCAUAUCUAGAAACAUAAUCAAAACUAGGAAGUUUUGGCUGAAGAAGCAUUCCAAAGAAGCUUGUGAGGCUUAAAAGAUUUUCAUAAUUUUAAAUAAAAUAGUAGCAAUGAGAGCUGGAAUUCUAAAUGAAGGAUUUUGCACAGUGUUCCUUGCAAUCUCAAACAAGUGAAAACCCUUGCCAUGGAUUUGCCCUGUACAUUCAAAUAUAAAGAUGUAGAACCAGGCACAUGUCACAUAUAUCAAAUAAAUUAUUGGUUUUUGCAAAGGUUUUUGUAAAACAAAAAACAAAAAAAAACAAGAGUUUUAAAGUAAAUUUUUUCAUCUCAAAUUUGAUCAACUAUCUGUAAAUAAUCUUUACAUUAUCAAGACUUGAAGAACCUAUAAACCGCUCUUAUUUCAAAACGUCUAAUUUCUUUGACGACAAGAUCUUGCAUUGAACUCUUUCCUUUCAACAAGCUCCUUUAUUUAUUCGAAAUGGCUUCAUGCUGCACAAAAUAAAACCUUGGCAAUAAAGUUGGUGUGGUUUGAUGUAACAUUUCUUAGGAUUGAGAAUUUCCCUUUAAAUUUGAAAACAAGAGGGUCACCUUUUCUAACUAAAUUUCCUGAUUUUAUUGAAUGUUAAGAUUUUUAUUGAAAAUUUUGAUUAUCACAAUGACUUUUUAUUGAAAAUUUUGAUUAUCACAAUUACUUUUUAGUCAUUUUUUCCUGACAUGUGCCUGGUUUAUUUGGUUAUAUAGAAAUUAAGUAUCUACAUGAGCACACCAUAUGAAUGAUUCAGUCAGUCAAACUCAAUAAUUGUAGAGAAUUUUGCCAGUAUCCUUGCAGUUGUAUGUCAAAUGCCGCAGUUUCAGAUCCUGCUUUUCCACUUAUAAAAAGCACUUAAAUGAAUGACACGUAAUUGUCAUACAGUUUAAAUUAUCAAAGUAACUUUUAAAGUUAUCUCCCCUUGCUAGUUUUGAGUUUCACUCAGAAAAAGAUUUUUCUAACAAUUCAAAUUAUCAGACCACGUUUAGUUAAUAUGCAAUGAUUUCUAAUUGCUGCCAGAAAAUACUGUUGUGCGUGAUGGCCCAAAAUGAAAGCGCAUUAUUUUUCAGAAUGUUGAAAAUAUCCGAAAAAAAACUUUCUUUUUAAAUGAAACUUCAAUUGAAGAAAAAAUUCAGUAAAAAGAAAUCAAUGUGUUCAAAAGCACAAAUAGAGAACUUUAAACUAGCCAAAUCUUAAGAGCAAUGUGACUCUUAUGAAUAAUUAAAUACAGUUUAGUACUUUAUGUUCCAAAAAAUAGAACUUUUUGGUGACACUGGCUGGUAAAUUGCUGUAAAUCAUUCCUAUGGUGUGCUCGUAGAGAUUUGAUGUUUAUUUUUGAACGAAUAAAACAAAUCUUUGCUUUUUUGGUGUUGUGUUUUUAUUACCAAAGUAAUUUAGAUGACUUAAAUGCAAAGUUUAAUAUUGUGUACAGGUACAGUUCUAAAAAUGGGAACAAAAUGUUAAUCAAAAAGAAUUCAUUUUACAAAAUUGCUUCAAAAAUUGCUAAAUUUAUAGAGAAGAAUAUACAUUUUUAGAGUUGUAUUUAAAAAAAAAUCUAUCCCAAUAGAACUGUGCCUGUAUACAUUUCAACUUUGCUGCUUUAAAGUUAUGUUAACACACUGAGGGCGCUCUUUACUCAAGGUGAGUAAUGUAACAUUGAGGGCACUGUUUCUCAAAUAUAUUUUUUUAAGUUAUCAAAAUGUUGAGGGCGCUAUUCUAUAAUAUUUAAAGUGAUUUUUUGUUAAGUUGGUUUUUCUAAAUAUUGAGGUCGCUGUUUAUGAAAUAAAUCACAAUUAUUAACCAAAAUUGUAAGAUGGUGUUGCUUGAACUUUAUUUCCAUCUGGUUUGAACUUGUAUAUUUAAUUUUUUUUUAUUUUAA